UACGGAGGGUGCAAGCGUUAUCCGGAUUCACUGGGUUUAAAGGGUGCGUAGGUGGAGUGGUAAGUCAGUGGUGAAAUCUCCAAGCUUAACUUGGAAACUGCCGUUGAUACUAUCAUUCUUGAAUAUCGUGGAGGUAAGCGGAAUAUGUCAUGUAGCGGUGAAAUGCUUAGAUAUGACAUAGAACACCGAUUGCGGAGGCAGCUUGCUACACGAUCAUUGACACUGAGGCACGAAAGCGUGGGGAUCAAACAGG
rnacentral:rRNA from 1 species